rnacentral:tRNA from 2 species
UCGCCAGAUGGCCCAUGAGGUAAAGGGUGAUCAUCUCCCGCAUGAACGGGGUGUUGGCGUAGUACGUGUCCAGGUCGGUGAGCC